ACGAACGCUGGCGGCGUGCUUAACCCAUGCCAGUCGAACGCUGAAGACCUGGCUUUUGUUGGGUUGGAUGAGUGGCGAACGGGUGAGUAACACGUGAGUAACCUGCCCUCUUCUUUGGGAUAACGCCCGGAAACGGGUGCUAAUACUGGAUAUUCACUGGCCUUCGCAUGGGGGUUGGUGGAAAGGUUUGUUCUGGUGGGGGAUGGGCUCGCGGCCUAUCAGCUUGUUGGUGGGGUGAUGGCCUACCAAGGCUUUGACGGGUAGCCGGCCUGAGAGGGUGACCGGUCACAUUGGGACUGAGAUACGGCCCAGACUCCUACGGGAGGCAGCAGUGGGGAAUAUUGCACAAUGGGCGAAAGCCUGAUGCAGCGACGCCGCGUGAGGGAUGGAGGCCUUCGGGUUGUAAACCUCUUUCGCUCAUGGUCAAGCCGCAACUGUGGGUUGUGGUGAGGGUAGUGGGUAAAGAAGCGCCGGCUAACUACGUG
rnacentral:rRNA from 1 species